rnacentral:rRNA from 1 species
UACGUAGGGGGCAAGCGUUGUUCGGAAUUACUGGGCGUAAAGGGCGCGUAGGCGGCCUUCUAAGUCAGACGUGAAAUCCCCCGGCUUAACCUGGGAACUGCGUCUGAUACUGGAGGGCUUGAGUGCGGGAGAGGGAUGCGGAAUUCCAGGUGUAGCGGUGAAAAUGCGUAGAUAUCAAGAGGAACACCUGAGGUGAAGACGGGUUUGCUGGGCCAACACUGACGCUGAGGAGCGAAAGCGUGGGAGCGAACAGG